rnacentral:rRNA from 1 species
AGUCGAGCGCCUCGCUUUCGGGCGGGGAGCGGCGCACGGGUGAGUAACGCGUGGGAAUCUACCCUGGGGUUCGGGACAACGGCGGGAAACUGCCGCUAACACCGGAUACGGCCUUUUGGCGAAAGUUCACGCCCUGGGAUGAGCCCGCGUCCGAUUAGCUAGUUGGUGGGGUAACGGCCCACCAAGGCUGCGAUCGGUAGCCGGUCUGAGAGGAUGAUCGGCCACACUGGGACUGAGACACGGCCCAGACUCCUACGGGAGGCAGCAGUGGGGAAUCUUGGACAAUGGGGGCAACCCUGAUCCAGCGACGCCGCGUGGGUGAUGAAGGCCUUCGGGUUGUAAAGCCCUUUUGUCGGGGACGAUGAUGACGGUACCCGGCGAAUAAGCACCGGCUAACUCCGUGCCAGCAGCCGCGGUAAUACGGAGGGUGCUAGCGUUGUUCGGAAUUACUGGGCGUAAAGGGCGCGUAGGCGGCCGUUUGCGUCGGAUGUGAAAGCCCGGGGCUCAACCUCGGAACGGCAUUCGAUACGGGACGGCUGGAGACCGGGAGAGGAGAGUGGAAUAGCCAGUGUAGAGGUGAAAUUCGUAGAUAUUGGCUGGAACACCGGUGGCGAAAGCGGCUCUCUGGCCCGGUUCUGACGCUGAGGCGCGAAAGCGUGGGGAGCAAACAGGAUUAGAUACCCUGGUAGUCCACGCCCUAAACGAUGUGUGCUGGGCGUCGGGGGGCUUGCCCCUCGGUGCCGGAGCUAACGCGGUAAGCACACCGCCUGGGGAGUACGGCCGCAAGGUUAAAACUCAAAGGAAUUGAC